rnacentral:rRNA from 1 species
AGGUAGCUGGUCUAAGAGGAUGAACAGCCACAAUGGGAUUGAGAUACGGCCCAUAUUCCUACGGGAAGCAGCAGUAGGGAAUCUUCCACAAUGGACGAAAGUCUGAUGGAGCAAUGCCAUGUGAACGACGAAGGCCAGACAGGUCGUAAAGUUCUUUUAGAGGGGAAAAAUCUGAUGGUACCCUCUGAAUAAGUGACAGCAAACUAUGUGCCAGCAGCUGCGGUAAUACAUAGGUCGCGAGCGUUAUUCGGAUUUAUUGGGCGUAAAGCAAGCGCAGGCGGAUGAAUAAGUUCUGCAUUAAAAGCAGCUGCUUAACAGUUGUUUGUGC